UCAUUAAUUAACGGUUAUCCGUCUGUAGAUCCAACUCAGUUGGCAGUUGUAAGGGGUUGGGGUCCAAACCCGAGACUCCCAUUUCUCGACAUUUAAAAAUAUGUAAGCCCAGAGAAAGAUAUAUAUCUUUUUAUUUUUGUAUAAGAGGUUAAAUUCUAUGCACUUGCGUUUGUAAUUUUUGUUUAUGCAUGCCUUGAAUCAAAUAAGUUUGCUACCAUUUGGAUGAUUUGGAAGGAGCGAAACAAUUGUGUGUAAUUCAAAACACGACAACUACUUCAUCCAUCCUUCUUGAUAAAGUAAAGCAGCACUCAUUUUUAUGACUGAAAUAUAAACAGGCAGCAUUCGCUUAUUCUUUUUAUGACCGAUGAAAACAUCCACUCUAUUGUAUGGGUGUGUGCUUGUAAUAUUGUUUCUUGGUUGGCCCUUCAAAGGGCAAUUUGACAAUGUAACUUUGUAACUUUGAUGGUGUUUCUUUCUUGCACAUCUUGUGCGAUUGGAAACACUUUUGAGUAUAUAUAUAUAUAUCAUUUUGAUUUGUUAAAAAAAAUGCUAAAUAAAUAUUUUUAUAUGCUCAUAUGU
rnacentral:lncRNA from 1 species